UCUGUAAUGAGAUGUUUGCCUGUGA
rnacentral:piRNA from 1 species